CUGUCUACAUGCCACACAUUUUUGUCUCACCAUUUCCACCUACUUCCUGCUACCUGUAGAUUGAUUUCACCAUUCAUCUCUAUCUUCUCCAUUUGUUCCAUAUCUUAUCCACUUUCUAUCAAACUUUGCUUUCUCGAUUUUGCGUUUUCCCCGAUUUAUGUUUCGGUGGCACCUCUGUGGGAGAAGCAAGAAGCAGGAAAACACAGUCGCGACUGCGACAUGCGAAGUGGCUCAACAUCUUCAACCAACAUAAGUGUUUCCGUGGUGGCGGUGUCACCCAGUUUCAUCGCUUAAUAAAGAGGGGUGUCCGGAUUUGACAUCACGACGAUCGAUGACUUUGGAGUGAAAGAAUUUUCUAAUACCUGGGGUCGAAAGAGAUGGUAAUUGUCAAAAUGAUGCAUAUCGUAUAUGAGCAUUUCAGUGGGCUUCUUUUCAGCCUCAUCUCUAUUCUCUAAUAUAUUUUGAAUUUGGUUUUUGUAUGAAUAUUGUAAUGGAUUUUAUGGGUCAUGUUUUAUGAAUAUUAUAUAUCUUUGUUACUAAAGAAAAUGUUAAUAUAAUAUUAUUUUUACCGUAACUGACCAUAUAAUUUCCUGGUCUUCAGUCUUUGCGUUAGCGUUUGUAAGUUUGAAUUUUAUGUUGUAAAUAUCAGUUUCCUUAUUUUAUUUA